UAAAGAGUUCUAUAACUCCCAAACCCAUGUGAACAUACCAAACGUUGCCUCGGCAGGUCGCACCUACCUUGUAGCACCCUAUCCUGUAGGGCCUACCCGGGACGUGCGGGUAAGCCUGCCGGCGGCCCAUUAAACUCUGUUUGAUAUUGAAUUCUGAACCUAUAACUAAAUAAGUUAAAACUUUCAACAACGGAUCUCUUGGUUCUGGCAUCGAUGAAGAACGCAGCGAAAUGCGAUAAGUAAUGUGAAUUGCAGAAUUCAGUGAAUCAUCGAAUCUUUGAACGCAUAUUGCGCCCAUUAGUAUUCUAGUGGGCAGGACCGUUCGAGCGUCAUUUCGACCCUUAAGCCUUAGUUGCUUAGUGUUGGGAGCCUACGGCGACGUAGCUCCUCAAAGUUAGUGGCGGAGUUGGUUCACACUCUAGACGUAGUAAUUUUUUAUCUCGCCUAUUAGUUGGACCGAUCCCCUGCCGUAAAACACCCAACUUCUCAAGGUUGACCUCGAAUCGGUUCAGACAAACUCGCUAAAUUGAAGCAUCUUAGUCAGCGAAGGAAAAGAAACCAA
rnacentral:rRNA from 1 species